rnacentral:misc_RNA from 1 species
AACGCGUCCAGUGUGCUUGUCACUUUCAGUUAUCAAAAAGUCGUGAUAAAGAUUUCUAUCAGUUGAAAGUGAAAUACCUCUAAAUUAAAAACAUCGAUCGCGGGCGGCGGCUGUACCCCGCAGAGCAACGUCCAAGGACACUGAGCUGCUUAUAAAGUUUGAGAAACCACACCAGUGAAUCUCCAAAAUGGCGAGCAGUACAUGGGAGGAAUUCUUCGCGGUGCACCUGCCCCCACCAGACUUCGAGGACAACCGCUCUCUGCUGAAGGAGUUCUGUGAGCGGCAUGACCAGUAUGGCAACAAAAUUGUUCUUGUUACCUCUGGUGGUACAACAGUCCCCUUAGAACACAACACGGUCCGUUUCGUGGACAACUUCAGCGCGGGCACCCGUGGCGCGUCUUCUGCCGAGUACUUCCUUGAACAGGGGUAUGCGGUCAUCUUCAUGCAUCGCCAAAAGUCGCUGGAACCGUUCACGAGGCACUUCACUGGACAGAAGCUGCUGGAUAUGCUUGAGAUCCAGGAUCGAGGACCUAAUACUUCUAUUUCAGUGAAACCAGACAGCGUCGACGUGCUAGCACCCAUUCUCCUCCGCUACAAGGCAGCUCACGCAGCGGGUGCGAUCCUGCACGUGUCGUUCACCACAGUCUCCGAGUACUUCUGGCUGCUGCGCGCUGCCUGCGAGUGUCUGGCCAACCUUGGUGCUAGGGCCAUGCUGUAUCUAGCUGCUGCUGUGUCCGACUUCUAUAUACCUAAGGAUAGAGUGCCUACCCACAAGAUGCAGUCAGCUUGCGGAGCUCCCAUCAUCCAACUGCACCUAGUGCCCAAGAUGUUGGCUCCCCUCGUCAACCUGUGGGUGCCUGAAGCUUAUGUGGUCUCCUUCAAGCUGGAGACGGAUGAGAACCUGCUCAUACCUAAGGCGAGGGCUGCGCUUGACAAGUAUAAGCAUAAGAUGGUGGUGGCUAACUUGCUGCAAACCCGGCACCACCGCGUGAUCCUGGUGUCUCCCGACGUGUCGCAGGAGAUCGUGCUCACCAGGGAAGAGGUUCAUGCCGGCGUGGACAUCGAGUCGUCGAUCGUGUGCGAGAUAGUCCGCGUGCACGCGCUGCACAUGCGGCACGCGGGCGAGCCCGUGUCGCCGCCGCGCUCGCCGCGCUGAUGCGUCCGCCGCCGCCGCCUCUACCUCACCAACCAGUAGGCGCGGCGCCACACACAAGUGCGGGAAUGUGGACGAGGUGUGCUCAGCGGUGGACGAAGUGUGGUGAGCAGUGGACCUCAUGUGCUGAGCAGUGGACUAUAUGUGCUGAAUAGUUGACUAUGUGUGGUGAACAGUGAACAAUAAUUGAUGGACAGUGAACUAUGUGUGUUGAUCAGUGCACUAUGUGCUGAGCAGUGAACUAUGUGUGGUGAACAGUGAACAAUAAUUGAUGGACAGUGAACUAUGUGUGUUGAUCAGUGCACUAUGUGCUGAGCAGUGAACUAUGUGUUCUGAACAGUGAGCUGUAAGUGCUGAACAGUGGUCUUUAUGGCGAAAGUAAACCAUUAUGUACUGAUCAGUGGACUAUGUGUUCUGAUCAAUGAACUAUGUGCUGAAUAGUUAAAUAUGUUUUCUGAACAGUGGACUAUUUGUGCUAAUUAGUGGAGUACAUGCGGAACAAUGGACCAUAUGUGCUGAACAGUAAACUAUAAGUGCUGAACACUUGACUUAACGUGAUGAAAAGUCUGUUAUAAUUGCUGAACUGUUGACUUCAUGUGCUGAACGAUUGACUUUAUAUGCUGAACAGUUGACUAUAUUAUGUGGUGAACAUUCUACAUAACAGUGAAUAGUGAUCUAAAACUUGAUGAGAGUAUAGUCGUCAUGCUUCAUUGUUAUGACCGCGCUCGCCACCGCCUUUACCUCGCGAAACAGUACCCGUGCCGCAGCCCGUUUAGAAAGAACUAUACUGAACAGUGAGCAUUGCACUGAUCGGUGCAUGUAAUAAACAAUGGUUUUCAAAGUAAAUAGUGAACUAUAUGUCGAACUAAAUACACGCAUCGACGCAACUUGUCUAAAAAGUCCUUAUAUCAACAGUUGACUUUAAUGAACAGUGGACUUCAUAAUGAACAGUGAGCUUAAAGUUCAUGCACUUUUAAUGUGUUGUCAUCGUAAUGUGAACUUUACAUAUGGCUAGUGGGCCAACACGUCUUGCUGGCAUCUCUGUACCAGCCAGUAAGCGUAACGUUUGUGCAGUUGGAACUCCGUAGUGGAUAGUGGACUACUACAUGUGUGAUGAACAGAACAUUAAAUUAAGAGAAGAGGAGUUACUAACAUGUUUUAUUGUAUUGAAACUUUCUUAUGGAAAAACCCGUGAAGUGCUAGGGCAAUGACGUAUUUAUAAACUGUGUAAUGUUUUGUUAUUCAUUGACGAGCAAUCAUGCAAUGUUUGAACUAUGAGUUGUCUGCAGCAAAUCAGAGUAAAGUUUCUACUAGUCAUGGUGAUUUAUAGAGCAAAAACAUUUAACUGGUAAACCAAGAAAACUUUCUUAAAAGAAAAUGGGGAUUGAAAAGUUGUACAUUGUUUGUACGAUGAGUGAUAUGUUACUAAAAGUUCCCGAACGAGUUGAGUGCUGCGAUGUUCGUGCUCGCGAGCGUUAAGUCUAUCUUAGCGAAUACAACUACUUAUGUGACUCAAAUAAAAUCAUGAAAAAACUUUGGUCUGUCGUGCUGAAAAUGUACGUGAAGUUCAUGAACGUUCUAAGCGAUGUAAGGUUUUCGUAAAAUGACACUUAUGACUUCUCAAUACACAUGUGUGUUAAAUGUAUCAUAUAAUACUAUGUGUUCCCAGUGUUUAAAUGUAACAAUAAAUGUCUAUUCAUGCACGUUUUGUAUCAUAGAUGCGCGUUCAGGCAUUCGAUACAUAGGAGUGAGAUAUCACCCUAAAAAGACUAUGAUUAUGAAAAUAAUAACAUAAGCUGUGAAUAUUUAUA